AUGGGAGAGAGAAACCGUAAAUCAUCAAGUUCAACUAAAAAGGCACCAACCGACGUAACACUUGAACAACCUGUCUGUCUCCGUCUCCGUUUCAACACGCGCCGUCUUCACCUCUCCCCUUGUUCUUAUGUGUUGCGGCCCCUUAGGUACUCUAUCAAUUUAGUUGGUACUCCACAUACACUACUAGGACAGUUGAACUCUUUUGAUUCCUGA